rnacentral:tRNA from 1 species
AUUCCGCCGGGACCCCUGAGCAUCCCUGAUAAGGAUGAGGUCGCUGGUUCAAAUCCAGCUCGGCCCA